rnacentral:rRNA from 1 species
AGCGAACGCUGGCGGCAGGCCUAACACAUGCAAGUCGAACGAACCUUUCGGGGUUAGUGGCGGACGGGUGAGUAACACGUGGGAACGUGCCUUUAGGUUCGGAAUAACUCAGGGAAACUUGUGCUAAUACCGAAUGUGCCCUUCGGGGGAAAGAUUUAUCGCCUUUAGAGCGGCCCGCGUCUGAUUAGCUAGUUGGUUGAGGUAAUGGCUCACCAAGGCGACGAUCAGUAGCUGGUCUGAGAGGAUGAUCAGCCACAUUGGGACUGAGACGCGGCCCAAACUCCUACGGGAGGCAGCAGUGGGGAAUCUUGCGCAAUGGGCGAAAGCCUGACGCAGCCAUGCCGCGUGAAUGAUGAAGGUCUUAGGAUUGUAAAAUUCUUUCACCGGGGACGAUAAUGACGGUACCCGGAGAAGAAGCCCCGGCUAACUUCGUG